ACGCACGCUGGCGGCGUGCCUCAUACAUGCAAGUAGCACGCUGAAGAGAGGAGCUUGCUCUUCUUGGAUGAGUUGCGAACGGGUGAGUAACGCGUAGGUAACCUGCCUUGUAGCGGGGGAUAACUAUUGGAAACGAUAGCUAAUACCGCAUAACAAUGGAUGACACAUGUCAUUUAUUUGAAAGGGGCAAUUGUUCCACUACAAGAUGGACCUGCGUUGUAUUAGCUAGUAGGUGAGGUAAUGGCUCACCUAGGCGACGAUACAUAGCCGACCUGGGAGGGUGAUCGGCCACACUGGGACUGAGACACGGCCCAGACUCCUACGGGAGGCAGCAGUAGGGAAUCUUCGGCAAUGGGGGCAACCCUGACCGAGCAACGCCGCGUGAGUGAAGAAGGUUUUCGGAUCGUAAAGCUCUGUUGUAAGUCAAGAACGGGUGUGAGAGUGGAAAGUUCACACUGUGACGGUAGCUUACCAGAAAGGGACGGCUAACUACGUG
rnacentral:rRNA from 1 species